UAAACGUUGAAGAAGUAUCCUAGAUUAUAUCCUUGUAUUUCCGUGUUUGUACAUUAGAUGUUCCCGACCUGGAAAAGGUGGACAAGUGGUGUUUGUUGUCGUCAACCACCCAAAUCAGGAUCAUCAACCAUGUCCACCUCUAUCACAACUGCAAAUGGAGUUGUGGUAGUGACACAAGAGUUCCCCUUCGCGAAGAGUGGCAAGGCUUCAGUGCCACUUCUGAAUGUCACUCCCCAAAUCCAGAGUGCGCCCCCCGCUGUGCCACUGCCUACCACUAAAGUGUCAGAGAUGACAAGGGUGUUCCUGCAGGUUCAGACACAAUCUCUUGGGGUGAGAACAUAAUAUUACUGUCCUUUUGUUUUUAGUGCUCAUUCCAUCCAUUUGCCAUUGGAUUCAAUCAUCAGCUGUGAUAUUGUAGAGAUCUAUAUUUAACAUCCUUUGAGGGCAAUUUGAUUUAGAAGAAAACAUCAAGGCUAAAUUGUUAACCACUAUUAGUUACCAUUUCCACUAUCGUUACUUAAUGUUCCCCCGAAUUACUGUUGUCUCAGAUUGUGCAGAUCGUCCUUGGAUUGGUGUGCAUGGUGGUGAGCCUGCUCUUCUCUCCCCUAUCCUGUAUGACCAGUUCCCACUCUUCAUGGGAGUUGCUGUAAGUUCUGGGUCCCAAGGGGGCAAGUAAUAUCCAGCAUGCUUAAUGUUACACGGACACAUGCAAUUUUAGAGAUGUUUCCUCAGAGUGAAUCUGGCAUCAUCUAUCUUACAGUAGUCCUAUUGUAACCUAGAAAAGUAGGUGAACAAGCAGGAUAAGUGACUUCAGAUCAGCAUUUAUGGCCAAAGGGCAUCCCACACCCACAGGAGACAGCAGAACUUGUGUUUAUCUAUAAAGUGUAGGCCUCUACAGUGGGUGACAUUGGAUGUGGCAGUUGAUUGGACAGCAUCACCUUAGCGUCAUAUGUCAAUGGUCACCUAAUAAUCCCCAGUUUACAAUUGGCUCAUUCAUCCCCCUCCUCUCCCCUGUAACUAUUCCCCAGAUCGUUGCUGCAAAUGAGAACGUGUUCUCAGUCAACUUACCUUGUAAAAUAAAAUAAAUAAAUAAAUAAAUAUUUGUGUUUUCUUUAAGAGUAUGUCACCUUUGUUUCCACAGGUGAAGUAAAAUGUCUCACUGAAUGUAAUGACUGCGAUAUUCACCAUGGCGGGUUUUGGGCUUGCAGUAUGUAGGACUCUUUUGUCCAUGGAACUAUUCUCUGUUGCUUUUAAAAAGUUCCACUUCAGCUGACCAGUCAGUCCAGAACUCUGGGGUUCGGAUCUCGAGGUUCUACAGUACUUGGUCAAAGUACUGAAACAAGUCCAAAUAACUAGCCACUAGCUCCCCACAGUGGUAUCAAUCAUAAUGGUUAUCGGGUCCAGAACAUUUGACCAAUAGUGUAACUCACUAGGUCCCCACAACAUCUGGCACUGUGUGUUGAAGCUGGCGCAGACACCGCUGUAGCAGUAGGAGGAGCCUUCCUCGCAGGGCUCGCCGUUCUGCAGGAACACGUUGGGAGGGCAGUAGGGAGAGGUACCGGUGCAGUGCUCUGGGAGGUCACACUCCCCCAGGGGCUGCCGACACAUCCAUCCACCUGAACGCAGCUGGUCAGACAGAGAAAAUAGACAGUAGAUCAGUAAAGGGGUUUAUGAUUUAGACCUUUGUUCAGCUUCUUGUGAUAGAUCAUGUAACAGUUUAGUUUAUUAGGAUCACUAUUAGCAAUUGCACAUGUGUAACGGUAUAACUUUAAACCGUCCCCUCGCCCCGACACGGGCGCGAACCAGGGACCUUCUGCACACAUCAACAACGGUCACCCACGAAGCAUCGUUACCCAUCGCUCCACAAAGGCCGCGGCCCUUGCAGAGCAAGGGGCAACACUACUUCUUGGUUUCAGAGCAAGUGACGUAACUGAUUGAAACGCUAUUAGCGCGUACCCGCUAACUAGCUAGCCAUUUCACAUCCGUUACACUCACCCCCCUUUCAACCUCCUCCUUUUCCGCAGCAACCAGUGAUCCGGGUCAACAGUAUCAAUGUAACAGUAUAACUUUAAACCGUCCCCUCGCCCCGUAAGGUUCCAGUGAAGGAGACAGAGGGAGAGAGGCUUGCCCACCUUGCAGUUGUCACAACAGAUGCCUUUGGAGGAACACUGGGCCCCAGGAACUUUCCGAAUGCACUGUAUGUCCAAGCAUACACCAUACAAACUGGUCAAAUACCCCUGCAAAGAGGAUCACCCCUACUCCAAUUUCUACUGAGACACGGUGCUCCUGAUCAAUGGCAUGCUGAGCAUUCUGAUUGGUUUCUUGGUGCUGGAGAUGCUGAUCAGUGUGAUGGUUAUUACGUAUGGGCUGUGCACCACGGGUACCGACGGCCCAGAGGUCCCUCAGGAAGAGACUGACACCCCUCUGUGUGUUCCCAGCAGCACUGCAGACCCCCCUGUGCUCCCCUGGCACUCAGAGUGAAGUCACUACAGUGGUGACACUGCCAUGAAACAGUCCGACAUAAUGAUAAAGGGCAACUCUUUGGCCUAGUGGCAAGAAAAAAAAGGGAAGAAACGAAUACCUUACUGUUAUGCUUGCCUUUCUUGCACUAAAACACUUGUACUUGUGUUUUCUUACUAGUACUGAUUCUGAUGAAAGCUGCUUCGUUGAGGAAAGUUUAAUUUACAAUGAUUGUGAUAUGCGGUUGUCUUACCUAGUACAUUAAGUUAAAUAGCUCUGGAUUUCUACUAAGCUAUGUAAAAGACCAGAUGCUGCUGGAAGUGGUGUUGGAGGGCCAGUAGGAGGCACUCUUUCCUCUGGUCUAAAAAAUGUCCCAAUGCCCCAGGGCAGUGAUUGGGUUAGGACACUGCCCUGUGUAGGGUGCCGUCUUUCGGAUGGGACGUUAAACGGGUGUCCUGACUCUCUGAGGUCAUUAAAGAUCCCAUGGCACUUAUCGUAAGAGUAGGGGUGUUAACCCCGGUGUCCUGGCUAAAUUCCCAAUCUGGCCCUCAAACCAUCAUGGUCACCUAAUAAUCCCCAGUUUACAAUUGGCUCAUUCAUCCCCCUCCUCUCCCCUGUAACUAUUCCCCAGGUCGUUGCUGCAAAUGAGAACGUGUUCUCAGUCAACUUACCUGGUAAAAUAACGGUAAAAUAAAAUAAAAUAAAUAAAUAACAAAUAUUUUAAGGUCAUACCAAGGAUUAUUUAGCUAUUUGAUUUAGAAUUUUAAGACCCCUUGAAGAAUCCCCCAAAAUAUAUUUAAAAAAUAUUUGAUGAAAAAUUGUAUUUGGCCCAUACAAAUGCAAUGAAUAACAAAUUCACUACAUUGAACAACAGAUAGUCCCCCCCAGAAAAUCUAAAGGAAGUUUGUUCUUAACUGUCUGAGAGCUAUAACAAAUAUCAGGAACAUUUAUUUGUAUUAUUAUUUGUAUUUAUUUGUACAUGUAUUUAACUCAUUAUUUUUGGCACUAAACAGUGUCCAUAUAUACUUACAUAAUUUUUUAAAACUGGUACUGGCGACCUUCA